AUUGAACGCUGGCGGCAGGCCUAACACAUGCAAGUCGAGCGGUUGAGGUAGCUUGCUACCGAAGCAGCGGCGAACGGGUGAGUAAUGCAUGGGAAUCUGCCUGGUAGUGGGGGACAACGUUUCGAAAGGAACGCUAAUACCGCAUACGCCCUACGGGGGAAAGGGGGGGAUCUUCGGACCUCUCGCUAUCAGAUGAGCCCAUGCCGGAUUAGCUAGUUGGGGGGGUAAAGGCCCACCAAGGCGACGAUCCGUAGCUGGUCUGAGAGGAUGAUCAGCCACACUGGAACUGAGACACGGUCCAGACUCCUACGGGAGGCAGCAGUGGGGAAUAUUGGACAAUGGGGGCAACCCUGAUCCAGCCAUGCCGCGUGUGUGAAGAAGGCCUUAGGGUUGUAAAGCACUUUCAGUGGGGAGAAAGGUGAUUCACCUAAUACGUGAGUCAAUUGAUGCUACCCACAGAAGAAGCACCGGCUAACUCCGUGCCAGCAGCCGCGGUAA
rnacentral:rRNA from 1 species